rnacentral:rRNA from 1 species
UACGUAGGGGGCAAGCGUUGUCCGGAAUUACUGGGCGUAAAGGGCGCGUAGGCGGAUAGUUUAGUCAGAGGUGAAAGCCCAGGGCUCAACCUUGGAAUUGCCUUUGAUACUGGCUAUCUUGAGUUCGGGAGAGGUGAGUGGAAUGCCGAGUGUAGAGGUGAAAUUCGUAGAUAUUCGGCGGAACACCAGUGGCGAAGGCGACUCACUGGCCCGAUACUGACGCUGAGGCGCGAAAGCGUGGGGAGCAAACAGG